ensembl:lncRNA
UAAGUGACUUCUGGGAAGAAAUCCAAAAAGCACAUUUAAUAAAAGGGCUAUUUUCUCAAAUCAUAACCUUGGAUACUCCAGAAAAGGAAAAUUAAUCAAAGAUACAUUCCUUUAAAAAUACUUUAAAGAUUUGAGCUGCACAAAUGUGGUAGAUACUGACCCUGCAUUCCCACAUGGCAGUAACAGGCUGGAACCCAAUAGUAGCUGUCCCUUAUUGACAAGGUACUUGGUCUCCAGGUUACCAGUGACCCACCUCUCUUGUUUCACUGACUGAAGCUACUUUACUCAUUUCUUUACCUGCCUGGCCAUCAGCCAAAUUUCCCUGGCCUCCAUCCCUGCCCCUCUCAGCUGGUCACCGCUGCAUCGAGCUCUAAAAACCCCGUGAUUUCACUGAGUCUUCCGCAGGAUGACCUUAGAAAGACCCUGUGGUCAGAGGGAGAGAAUGUGUUAAUAUUUGUGCCAUGCUGUUUAGGACAGAUACAAAAUAGGACUGUUUUUACAGAAAAUUAUCUUUCAAUUCUUUACUUACAACCCAUAGGAUUCAGAUAUAUGUCCAUAGAGAACCGAGUAGAAGCGUUUAUCAGUCAGGGUCCAGUCAGGAAAAGAGCAGCCACAUUACUGAUUUUAAAAGAGGAAGUUUAGAAUGGGGAAUUGGCUAAACACGUACUGAAGGACCAAAGAAGCAAAAGGAACACCAGGCAAUACAGAGACAGCAGCUGCAGGACGCAGCCUUUGUCCAGAGCCUGGGAAGAAAGGGGGAAGGGUGGGAGUUUUACAGCCUAGGAGCUUGGAGGCGGAGACGCCCAAAGCUGGGAUUUGAUCUUUGAGGAGUGGUGCCCCCAGCUGCCACUGGCACCUCUGAGGGGGAUUGGUAACCAACUGCUGCACCCCAGUGAAGUGCUGUUACUUAGACACGGAAUGGAGAGCAAACAGGAAGGAGCAAGCCCCUCUUCUCUCCUGCAUUCUGCAUCUCCCUCUAGAGCUUUCUAAGGGCAGAGCAGAAGCCCAGCCCCAGCAUCACAGAGCAUGAACAUGUAGGUUUGGGGGUGAGGGGUAAGAGCCUGGUAACCAGCACGCAGACAUAAUGUGGUCCUCAUAGCGCUCUGCUUUCUAACAACCGAGGCUUUGUGACAGGACAACGUGUUAUUCUUGGCUUUUCUUCCCUCAGGUUGAGUUUUCUCCCAGAAUGGUCCUCGCUCAAACACAUUCCUGGAAGAUCCGCCUGCCGCUUAGGAUUAUCAACAUGUGUGACUCCCAAAGUACAAACAGCCAAGUCUCUCAGGUUGAAGACCUUGCUACAAAAAUAAUUAUAAUAAUGUGUGGCUAAUAUGAAUCGAGGUAUAUACAGCAUGAAGCAUUGACGAAUUCAAAGAAGAGGCGACAUUUGGGCAGCAUCUUGAAGGACAGUCAGGGGUUCACCAGGAGAGGAGGGCAAGAGUCUUGUGGAUAAAUGAAGCGAUACCUGUGCUGGAGGCCUGAGGGGGAAAGGGAUGCGUCAGUGCCCGCAAGGGGCUGACACGCUUUGAGCAGAGGCUAAGCAUGGAAAUGGCAGCAGGUGGCACAGGAACUCCAGAGACUCUCUUUUUCUACCCUCCCCAUCUCAACAGUCACCAAGCUCUGAAGAUUCUGGAAAAGAAACCUCUGAAAUUUGUUUUAUCCUUUCCACUCCCUCUGUCACUGCCUCAUGUAAGCCUACCUCAAACCUCCUCGGGGCCAAGCAGGCCGCGUAUUUGUAGGGCACGCCAACUCCGGUCCCUCCUUCACACCGCUGCUGAAGUGAUCCUGCU